rnacentral:rRNA from 1 species
AGUUCGGAUUGCAGGCUGAAACCCGCCUGUAUGAAGUUGGAAUCGCUAGUAAUCGCGGAUCAGCAUGCCGCGGUGAAUACGUUCCCGGGCCUUGUACACACCGCCCGUCACACCAUGGGAGCCGGUAAUACCCGAAGUCAGUAGUCCAACCUCGUGAGGACGCUGCCGAAGGUAGGAUUGGCGACUGGGGUGAAGUCGUAACAAGGUAAC